rnacentral:rRNA from 1 species
AUUGAACGCUGGCGGCAGGCCUAACACAUGCAAGUCGAGCGAGCGGCGGACGGGUGAGUAAUGUAUGGGGAUCUGCCCGAUAGAGGGGGAUAACUACUGGCAACGGUGGCUAAUACCGCUUACUACCGGAUGAAACCAUAUGGGUUUAGAUAGUAGGUGGGGUAAAGGCUCACCUAGGCGACGAUCUCCAGCUGGUCUGAGAGGCUGAUCAGCCACACUGGGACUGAGACACGGCCCAGACUCCUACGGGAGGCAGCAGUGGGGAAUAUUGCGCAAUGGGGGAAAGCCUGAUGCAGCCAUGCCGCGUGUAUGAAGAAGGCCUUCGGGUUGUAAAGUACUUUCGGCAGAGAGGCGUUACCCACAGAAGAAGCACCGGCUAACUCCGUGCCAGCAGCCGCGGUAAUAC